GACGAACGCUGGCGGCGUGCCUAAUACAUGCAAGUCGAACGCAGUGGGGAAGGCUGAGUAACACGUGGGUAACCUCCCCAUCAGCGGGGAUAACACUUGCAAACAGGUGCUAAACCUAUAAUGCUGGCUGCACCCGCUGUGCAUUAGGUAGUUGGUUAGGUAACGGCUCACCAAGGCCACGAUGCAUAGCCGACCUGAGAGGGUGAUCGGCCACACUGGGACUGAGACACGGCCCAGACUCCUACGGGAGGCAGCAGUAGGGAAUCUUCGGCAAUGGGCGAAAGUCUGACCGAGCAACGCCGCGUGAGUGAAGAAGGUGUUCGGAUCGUAAAACUCUGUUGUUAGAGAAGCGGUAUCUAACCAGAAAGCCACGGCUAACUACGUGCCAGCAGCCGCGGUAAUAC
rnacentral:rRNA from 1 species